rnacentral:rRNA from 1 species
CAGUCGCCACGGGAAUACGUAGGUGGCAAGCGUUGUCCGGAAUUAUUGGGCGUAAGGGGCUCGCAGGCGGUUUCUUAAGUCUGAUGUGAAAGCCCCCGGCUCAACCGGGGAGGGUCAUUGGAAACUGGGAAACUUGAGUGCAGAAGAGGAGAGUGGAAUUCCACGUGUAGCGGUGAAAUGCGUAGAUAUCGAUCGGAACACCCAUGGCGAAGGCAGCUCGCUGGCCUAACACUGACGCUGAGGCGCGAAAGCGUGGGGAGCAAACAGGAUUAGAUACCCCUGUAGUCCCUGUCUCUUAUAC